UACGGAGGGUGCAAGCGUUGUUCGGAAUUACUGGGCGUAAAGCGCGCGUAGGCGGGCUUGUGUGUCGAUUGUGAAAGCCCUGGGCUUAACCUGGGAAUGGCAGUCGAAACUGCAAGUCUUGAAUGUCUGAGAGGAUGGCGGAAUUCCCGGUGUAGUAGUGAAAUACGUAGAUAUCGGGAAGAACACCUGAGGCGAAGGCGGCUAUCUGGCGGUACAUUGACGCUGAUGCGCGAAAGCGUGGGGAGCAAACAGG
rnacentral:rRNA from 1 species